ensembl:ncRNA C54G4.12 ncRNA
UCUUGUCACUGCGUAUCUUCAUCUUUGAAUACUAUUUCCUCCGUGAGCUCUUCCUCAGACGUGUCGCCUUCUGGGGUCUCCGGAUGACACAUUCCGAUGGGGACGGGCGGGGGUGACAUGCAUUUAUCAUUGCCCCACGGAGAG